rnacentral:rRNA from 1 species
GACGAACGCUGGCGGCGUGCCUAAUACAUGCAAGUCGAGCGGAAGUUGGAGAGCUUGCUCUUCAACUUUAGCGGCGGACGGGUGAGUAACACGUGGGCAACCUGCCCUGCAGAUCGGGAUAACUCCGGGAAACCGGUGCUAAUACCGAAUAGUUUUCGCCACCUCCUGGUGGCGUACGGAAAGACGGUUUCGGCUGUCACUGCAGGAUUGGCCCGCGGCGCAUUAGCUAGAUGGUGGGGUAACGGCCCACCAAGGCGACGAUGCGGAGCCGACCUGAGAGGGUGAUCGGCCACACAGAGACUGAGACACGGACGAGACUCCAACGGGAGGCAGGAGUAGGGAAGCUGCCGCAAUGGACGAAAGUCUGACGGAGCAACGCCGCGUGAGUGACGAAGGUUUUCGGAUCGUAAAACUCUGUUGUGAGGGAAGAACAAGUACCACUUAACUACUGGUACCUUGACGGUACCUCACCAGAAAGCCACGGCUAACUACGUGCCAGCCGCCGCCGUAACAC